UUUUCAUGGAGUCCAAACCCACCAUGUAAAACGACUCACAGUCUGGUUCUCAUUAUUUCUUCCUUGUGUCAUUUUAUUUAGUCUUCAUCUUCUGCAUUUUCCAUAAGUCAAGCGAGGCCUGGAAGCUUGAUUUGAUUUGGAUUGAACACUUUUUUGGCAAGAGCCUUCUUAGGUGAUGCUGUGAAUUUAAUGCUCAUCACAUCAGGAGUUCCCGAGGUGAGCAAGAUGUUAUGCUAAGCCUUGGGAGAGUGAGUUUGCUCUUCUCUUGACCAACUUGUAUACAACAAACAUAAAGCAGCUAUGAAGAGAAUUUAAGGAAGUCAAACUCACCCUUUGGAGCCCAGCAGAGGGAUAGUUUAGAAAGUUACAAAAAAACUUCAAAGAUGCUUCUGGAUCAUCUUCUAAGUGACAGCAUUGUGUCUGGUGCUGGAAAUACAAAGAUAAAUAAGACAUGGCGUGUUCCUGCAGAAAGCACUUUCCAGAGGGUAACAUAUAUGUGCAAACAAAGGCAUGCUGUGUUGGAGAAGGUGUAAAAGUGAACAACAUCGCUAGUGCUUUCCCAGUCAAUGUCAGGAAACCACUUAGGGGACUUUGAAAAAAAUUGAAGUGCCAGUGGGUGAACGAGGACACCACGCGUUCUUCAUCCUUCCGUGCUUCUCAGCGAGCUCUCUAACUGAUGGUGUUCCAGGCAUGGGCCACGUGAAUUCCUAACAUGGAAUCUCAAUGACCCGUGUACCACGUGGGUGACUUACUGACCACUGCUGUCACGCCGUCAUGUGUUUUAUUAAAGUCAUAUUUUAUAAAACGUGUGGAUGUGGUAUUACAGAAAGAUGAUCAACCAGUUCCCUGGCAUUUCAUGGUGCUUUGCAUAGUGCUGUGAGGAGAUCGAUUGCCCCUUCUUAAACUGUGAGACACCCGGUGAAGCGAGCCUCCAGAAUGGGCAGGCUCUGCUGGAGGGCCCGAGCCACGCACGCCACAUCUGGUUCCUUUUCAAGUGGCCUGUGCGUGUUAGUGUGGGAGGAGUGAACGGGGACCAUGCCUUCCUGAAAUAUCAGCGCACCAAGGUGCCUCUGUGUGGACCGGUUAUCAACAGGUCUUGAGUACAAGAUGGGCAACCAGGAAAUUGAGUUAAUAUUUAUUACUCGAUCCCAUAACUCGUAUGACCUUUAGCACAAAUAUGGACUCCAACUACAAAGCUAAAUCUCUAGAGAAUCAAAAUUCAGGAUUGAAUUAGUAUUACCAUGACUAUGAUUUGUGUAUUUAUACAUGGCAUACAUAUGGCCUAAUAUACGUCAGAGCUAAAACUCAAGUGGCAAUUGGCAUACAUGGUAGGAAAGAAUAACUUGCAAAUUCACCCAUGUGGUUUUGAUAAAACUUCUAUUUCAAAAAAUAAUUGUUUCCUUAAAUGAUAGUCACGACUUAAAGUGCUUAUUAGUAGCUAUGACUUUUUUUAGGUAAAUAUGUUGAAAUUUCUGUAAGUAUGUUUGAAAACACGAAAUCUUGAAUGUUAGUCAAUAUUUUGGAGUGUUAACACUGCCAAUCAAUGCAUGAGAAUUUAUUGAUAGUAAAUUUUGAUAGUAGACAUACAAGUAAAACCAAACAUAAGCAUGUUUUUUAUUUUGUUCAACACAGUUAAAUGCUAGCAUUAAAAAGUUAGUCAUAAUUAAUUUAUUUAGAUUCCGUAUGACUGGAAAAAAUAAACUAAAUUUCUAAUACCUAUGAUGAAAAGAUGGGGAAACAUAAUGUUUCAUAAAUUAUAUAAAUUGCUGCAGCCUUUAUCUUUAUGCAGGACAAUUUGACAGUGUGUUUCAAAUACUUUAACACUGUAAAUAGUCUCAGCAAUUCUAUUUCUAGAAAUGUAAUUUAAGAAAAUAAUAAAAAGUGAGAGAAAAAGUUCAGAUACAGGAGAAUUAAUAAUAGCGUAAUCUAUUACACUAAAAACUUGAACACAACAUAUAUGUCCACCAAUAUGAAUUUGCUAAAUGGAAUAUAAAUAUAUUCUCUCUCUGUAUUCCUUGUAUAUUCUAACAUAUA